rnacentral:rRNA from 1 species
GAUGAACGCUGGCGGCGUGCCUAAUACAUGCAAGUCGAGCGAACAGACGAGGAGCUUGCUCCUCUGACGUUAGCGGCGGACGGGUGAGUAACACGUGGAUAACCUACCUAUAAGACUGGGAUAACUUCGGGAAACCGGAGCUAAUACCGGAUAAUAUAUUGAACCGCAUGGUUCAAUAGUGAAAGACGGUUUUGCUGUCACUUAUAGAUGGAUUCGCGCCGCAUUAGCUAGUUGGUAAGGUAACGGCUUACCAAGGCAACGAUGCGUAGCCGACCUGAGAGGGUGAUCGGCCACACUGGAACUGAGACACGGUCCAGACUCCUACGGGAGGCAGCAGUAGGGAAUCUUCCGCAAUGGGCGAAAGCCUGACGGAGCAACGCCGCGUGAGUGAUGAAGGUCUUCGGAUCGUAAAACUCUGUUAUUAGGGAAGAACAUAUGUGUAAGUAACUGUGCACAUCUUGACGGUACCUAAUCAGAAAGCCACGUCUAACUACGUG